CGUGGGGAACCUGCCCCAUAGUCUGGGAUACCACUUGGAAACAGGUGCUAAUACCGGAUAAGAAAGCAGAUCGCAUGAUCAGCUUUUAAAAGGCGGCGUAAGCUGUCGCUAUGGGAUGGCCCCGCGGUGCAUUAGCUAGUUGGUAAGGUAAAGGCUUACCAAAGCGAUGAUGCAUAGCCGAGUUGAGAGACUGAUCGGCCACAUUGGGACUGAGACGCGGCCCAAACUCCUACGGAGGCAGCAGAG
rnacentral:rRNA from 1 species